rnacentral:rRNA from 1 species
AUUGCACGCUGUCGGCAGGCCUAACACAUGCAAGUCGAACGAGUGGCGGACGGUUGAGUAAUGUCUGGUAAACUGCCUGAUGGAGGGGGAUAACUACUGGAAACGGUAGCUAAUACCGCAUACCAUCAGAUGUUCCCAGAUGGGAUUAGCUAGUUGGUGGGGUAACGGCUCACCGAGGCUACGAUCCCUAGCUGGUCUGAGAGGAUGACCAGCCACACGGGAACGUAUACACGGUCCCGACUCCUACGGGAGGCUGCAGUGGGGAAUAUUGCAGUGUGGGCGCAGGCCUGCUGCAGCCAUGCCGCGUGUAUGAAGAAGGCCUUCGGUUUGUAAAGUACUUUCAGCGGGGAGGCGUUACCCGCAGAAGAAGCACCGGCUAACUCCGUGCCAGCAGCCGCGGUAAUUC